rnacentral:lncRNA from 1 species
CAUUUCUCCAAUCUCUUGAAGUUAGCUGUAGCCAGAUGACCUGCUUUGGCCAAUAUCUAAAAGCAAAUAUGACUUUGUCACUUCAGAUCAAAGCAUUUCAGAGAUGAUGCACAACUCUACCCCACUCUCCCCUGCCACACCAUCUAAGGAAGCCACAUCUUCCAGAUGAUACUUCUACAAGAUGAUGGAUUCAUUACGUUUCAGCAUAAAGAACAGUUGCCCCAAAGAGUUUUCCAGAUCUGCAGAGAACGUCAACCCAAGAAAAAAAAUUGUACUGAGCCUGUAAAAUUUAGGGAUUAUUUGUUGCCUCAGUAUAAUCUAACCUAUCGUCAAUGACAGCAUUGUCUAGAAGGUUAGAACACUGAAAUGCCAAAGGAGAAUAGCAUGACCCCUAUAAGAAUGGAGCCAUCACAAAUCACCCACAACACUGCAAAGGAAAUGUUCCAACAGCAAGCUCUGAUGUUAGUAUGAGCGAAUUACAUAAUGAGCUCAAAAUGCUGUGUUUGUUAGACCAUCCUUGAAUACUUAAAUACAAUUGUACAGUUUACUGUUUUUUGAAAUGAA